UACGUAGGCAGCAAGCGUUGUUCGGAGUUACUGGGCGUAAAGGGCGCGUAGGCGGCUAUUUAAGUUUGGCGUGAAAUCUCCCGGCUCAACUGGGAGGGUGCGCCGAAUACUGAGUGGCUAGAGUGUGGGAGAGGAAAGUGGAAUUCCUGGUGUAGCGGUGAAAUGCGUAGAUAUCAGGAGGAACACCGGUGGUGUAAACGGCUUUCUGGGCCGUAACUGACGCUGAGGCACGAAAGCGUGGGUAGCAAACAGG
rnacentral:rRNA from 1 species